CUGCUUAACGGCCUGUCAACCCUAGAAACGGUUCAGCCGAAGGUAGGGUGCAGCGGCCGGAAGAGCACCGCACGUCGCGCGGUAUCCGGUGCGCCCCCGAUGGCCCUUUAAAAUCAGAAGGACCGAGUACCAUCCACGCC
rnacentral:rRNA from 1 species